UUGGAGAUCCGGCCGCAGUCAUAUGCUUGUCUCAAAGAUUAAGCCAUGCAUGUGUAAGCACACACUGUUUUAAAAGUGAAGCCGCGAAUGGCUCAUUACAACAGCCACAGUUUAUUAGAACUUACAAUCAUGGAUAACUGUGGUAAUUCUAGAGCUAAUACACGCACAAAAACUUCAACUGAAUUGGUUGAAGUGCUUUUAUUAGAACAAAAACCGAACGGCGUUUGGCGAAUGUUGAACGUCGAAACUGUUUGGUGAAUCUGAAUAACUAUUUCUGAUCGCAUGGUCUAGCACCGGCGACAUCACUUUCAAGUGUCUGCCUUAUCAACCUUCGAUGGUAGUCUAUGCGACUACCAUGGUGAUAACGGGUAACGGAGAAUCAGGGUUCGACUCCGGAGAGGGAGCCUGAGAAACGGCUACCACAUCCAAGGAAGGCAGCAGGCGCGCAAAUUACCCACUCCCAGCUUGGGGAGGUAGUGACGAAAAAUAACGAGACGAUUCUCGUUUGAGAAACGUUAUCGAAAUGAGUACGCUUUACACACGCUAACGAGUAGCAAUUGGAGGGCAAGUCUGGUGCCAGCAGCCGCGGUAAUUCCAGCUCCAAUAGCGUAUAUUAAAGUUGCUGCGGUUAAAACGCUCGUAGUUGAAUUGUGGUCUUAGACAACAGUCCCCCUACAUAGGUGUGGCACGGUUGCUCGAGAUCUUCAUUCGUGGUUGCUGUUGUUGCUCUUCAUUGAGUGUCAAUGGUGCCUCGAGAUUUUACUUUGAAAAAAUUAGAGUGCUCAAAGCAGGUUGUGAUGCCUGAAUAAUGGUGCAUGGAAUAAUAGAAUACGAUCUCGGUUCUAUUUUGUUGGUUUUCGAACCGGAGAUAAUGAUUGAAAGGAACAGACGGGGGCAUUCGUAUUGCUGCGUUAGAGGUGAAAUUCUUGGAUCGCAGCAAGAUGAACAAUUGCGAAAGCAUUUGCCAAGAAUGUUUUCAUUAAUCAAGAACGAAAGUUAGAGGUUCGAAGGCGAUCAGAUACCGCCCUAGUUCUAACGGUAAACUAUGCCAACCAGCGAUUCGCCGAAGUUCAUUUAAGACUCGGCGAGCAGCUUCCGGGAAACCAAAGUGUUUCGGUUCCGGGGGAAGUAUGGUUGCAAAGCUGAAACUUAAAGGAAUUGACGGAAGGGCACCACCAGGAGUGGAGCCUGCGGCUUAAUUUGAC
rnacentral:rRNA from 1 species